UUAACUUCAAUUUGUAUGGAGUUGGAACGUUUUCCUACGUUUACCGCUAGGGGCGCUGUUCCAACGCCAUACAAAUUUGAGUUA
rfam:Bombyx mori DNA, contig: Bm_scaf4_contig3706, strain: p50T/Dazao, build 2, whole genome shotgun sequence.